GGUGGGGUAAUGGCCUACCAACGGCGAUGAUGCACUAGCCGAGUUGAGAGACUGAUCGGCCACAAUGGGACUGAGACACGGCCCAUACUCCUACGGGAGGCAGCAGUACGGAAUCUUCCAGCGAUAUGGGCGCAAGCCUGAUAGAGCAACACCGGCGUGAGUGAAGAAUGGUUUCGGCUCGUAUAGCUCUGUUGUUAUAGCAAGAACACGUAUGAGAGUAACAGUUCAUACGUUGACGGUAUAUAACCAGAGAGUCACUGCUAACUACGUGCCAGCAGC
rnacentral:rRNA from 1 species